rnacentral:tRNA from 1 species
UAAGGUUCUUGUAGUUGAAUGA